AGCCGGAGCAAUGCUAGCCCUGACAUGUCUUUCCGAGCCUAUUUAAAUCCCGGGGAAACGGGGAAGUGGUUCCUACUGCUAGCAUCCGAGCUGAAGCACUUUAUGUACAGAAUAUGAAGGGUGUAUUAUAGAGAUGUGUGUGUGUGUGUAUAAGGGACGUCUACUCUUUAGUACUUCUAUUUAUUUAGAUAGGUGAAAGACAGAAUGGCAGAGAAUUGUGAGAGAAUGUCAGAAUGGCAUAGAACUGGUUCCCAAAUAAAUACGUUGGACAAUGAGAAACUUGUACGACCAAAAGAGAAACUGCACAUCUUAUUACAGCAGGCAGGUGCAGACAAAGACGUUUUCACCAUGAAAGAGGUAUGAAGUGACUUGACAGCUGGCUG